CUACACACGUGCUACAAUGGUAAGUACAGAGGGAUGCAAAACCGCGAGGUCAAGCCAACCCCACAAAACUUAUCUUAGUCCGGAUUGGAGUCUGCAACUCGACUCCAUGAAGUCGGAAUCGCUAGUAAUCGCAGAUCAGCUAUGCUGCGGUGAAUACGUUCCCGGGCCUUGUACACACCGCCCGUCACACCAUGGGAGUGAGUUGCUCCAGAAGCCGUUAGUCUAACCGCAAGGGGGACGACGACCACGGAGUGGUUCAUGACUGGGGUGAAGUCGUAACAAGGUAGCCGUAUCGGAAGGUGCGGCUGGAUCACCUCCUUU
rnacentral:rRNA from 1 species